rnacentral:rRNA from 1 species
CGGCGUGCUUAACACAUGCAAGUCGAGCGGAAAGGCUCCUUCGGGGGUACUCGAGCGGCGAACGGGUGAGUAACACGUGAGUAAUCUGCCCUGCGCUCUGGGAUAGCCACCGGAAACGGUGAUUAAUACCGGAUAUGACAUGUCCCCGCAUGGGGGUGUGUGGAAAGUUUUUUCGGCGCAGGAUGUGCUCGCGGCCUAUCAGCUUGUUGGUGAGGUAAUGGCUCACCAAGGCUUUGACGAGUAGCCGGCCUGAGAGGGUGACCGGUCACACUGGGACUGAGACACGGCCCAGACUCCUACGGGAGGCAGCAGUGGGGAAUAUUGGACAAUGGGCGGAAGCCUGACCCAGCAACGCCGCGUGAGGGAUGACGGCCUUCGGGUUGUAAACCUCUUUCAGUACCGACGAAGCGAAAGUGACGGUAGGUACAGAAGAAGGACCGGCCAACUACGUGCCAGCAGCCGCGGUAAUACGUAGGGUCCGAGCGUUGUCCGGAAUUAUUGGGCGUAAAGGGCUCGUAGGCGGUUUGUCGCGUCGGGAGUGAAAACAGCCAGCUUAACUGGUUGCUUGCUUUCGAUACGGGCAGACUAGAGGUAUGCAGGGGAGAAUGGAAUUCCUGGUGUAGCGGUGAAAUGCGCAGAUAUCAGGAGGAACACCGGUGGCGAAGGCGGUUCUCUGGGCAUUACCUGACGCUGAGGAGCGAAAGUGUGGGGAGCGAACAGGAUUAGAUACCCUGGUAGUCCACACCGUAAACGUUGGGCGCUAGGCGUGGGACCUAUUCCAUGGGUUCCGUGCCGU